rnacentral:rRNA from 1 species
UGGGGAAUAUUGCACAAUGGGCGCAAGCCUGAUGCAGCAACGCCGCGUGGAGGAAGACGGUUUUCGGAUUGUAAACUCCUGUUCUUAGUGAAGAAAAUGACGGUAGCUAAGGAGCAAGCCACGGCUAACUACGUGCCAGCAGCCGCGGUAAUACGUAGGUGGCAAGCGUUGUCCGGAAUUACUGGGUGUAAAGGGCGCGUAGGCGGGGAUGCAAGUCAGAUGUGAAAUCUAUGGGCUUAACCCAUAAACUGCAUUUGAAACUGUAUCUCUUGAGUGUCGGAGAGGUAGACGGAAUUCCUAGUGUAGCGGUGAAAUGCGUAGAUAUUAGGAGGAACACCAGUGGCGAAGGCGGUCUACUGGACGAUAACUGACGCUGAGGCGCGAAAGCGUGGGGAGCAAACAGGGAUUAGAUACCCUGGGUAGU